CCUACGGGGGGCAGCAGUGGGGAAUAUUGCACAAUGGGGGAAACCCUGAUGCAGCAACGCCGCGUGAGUGAUGAAGGCCUUCGGGUCGUAAAGCUCUGUCCUAAGGGAAGAAUACUGACGGUACCUUAGGAGGAAGCCCCGGCUAACUACGUGCCAGCAGCCGCGGUAAUACGUAGGGGGCUAGCGCUAUCCGGAAUUACUGGGCGUAAAGGGUGCGUAGGCGGCCCUUCAAGUCAGGGGUGAAAGGCUACGGCUCAACCGGAUGAAGCCUUUGAAACUGUAGGGAUUGAGUGCAGGCGAGGAAAGUGUAAUUCCCCGGGUAGCGGUGAAAUGCGUAGAUAUUGGGAGGAACACCAGUUGAGAAGGCUGCUCUCUGGACUGUAACUGACGCUGAGGCACGAAAGCAUGGGGAGCGAACAGGAUUAGAUACCCGUGUAGUC
rnacentral:rRNA from 1 species